rnacentral:lncRNA from 1 species
ACAGGAAGAGCUAAAGUUCUUAUGGAAAUCCAUUGUUGCCACAUCUUCAAAUAUGAGAAGAGACGUCUAUCAAUUACUGUCAAUUGUCAUUGUCUGAUGAUCUUUAAUCUUUGUUAUGUUUGGUUAUGUUGUUGACAACUUUUGAUAGGAUAAGGAUAUUUUAAACACAUUUUAAAAGAAAAACAACCUUAGUAGUUAGUAGAAAGGAAAGCAAUUUUAGAUUCCAACCGUAUUAUUACUUGUGAAAUAUUAUCAUCUAGUGGGAAAACCGCAGUGAUUGUGCCUUCAAACGGGCAAUUUGAAAGGACAACCCCACCAAAAACCAUUAUAAUUGUAAAUUGAAAUGAUUGAUAUUAAAAAUGUUUGUACCUAUGUAAUUGUACAUGUAAAGCUGGAAAUUCAGGCAUACCAUGGAAAAUUUGAAAAAAUUAAGCACCACAGACAUCAAACAACAGUGGGGAUAAUUU